rnacentral:rRNA from 1 species
UGGGGAAUUUUGGACAAUGGGCGCAAGCCUGAUCCAGCCAUGCCGCGUGCGGGAAGAAGGCCUUCGGGUUGUAAACCGCUUUUGUCAGGGAAGAAAUCUUCUGAGUUAAUACCUCGGGAGGAUGACGGUACCUGAAGAAUAAGCACCGGCUAACUACGUGCCAGCAGCCGCGGUAAUACGUAGGGUGCAAGCGUUAAUCGGAAUUACUGGGCGUAAAGCGUGCGCAGGCGGUUUUGUAAGACAGAGGUGAAAUCCCCGGGCUCAACCUGGGAACUGCCUUUGUGACUGCAAGGCUUGGGUGCGGCAGAGGGGGAUGGAAUUCCGCGUGUAGCAGUGAAAUGCGUAGAUAUGCGGAGGAACACCGAUGGCGAAGGCAAUCCCCUGGGCCUGCACUGACGCUC